GAUGAACGCUGGCGGCGUGCCUAAUACAUGCAAGUCGAGCGAACAGACGAGGAGCUUGCUCCUCUGACGUUAGCGGCGGACGGGUGAGUAACACGUGGAUAAGCUACCUAUAAGACUGGGAUAAUUUCGGGAAACCGGAGCUAAUACCGGAUAAUAUAUUGAACCGCAUGGUUCAAUAGUGAAAGACGGUUUUGCUGUCACUUAUAGAUGGAUCCGCGCCGCAUUAGCUAGUUGGUAAGGUAACGGCUUACCAAGGCAACGAUGCGUAGCCGACCUGAGAGGGUGAUCGGCCACACUGGAACUGAGAUACGGUCCAGACUCCUACGGGAGGCAGCAGUAGGGAAUCUUCCGCAAUGGGCGAAAGCCUGACGGAGCAACGCCGCGUGAGUGAUGAAGGUCUUCGGAUCGUAAAACUCUGUUAUUAGGGAAGAACAAAUGUGUAAGUAACUAUGCACGUCUUGACGGUACCUAAUCAGAAAGCCACGGCUAACUACGUG
rnacentral:rRNA from 1 species